rnacentral:rRNA from 1 species
UACAGAGGGUGCGAGCGUUAAUCGGAAUUACUGGGCGUAAAGCGUGCGUAGACGGUCUUGUAAGUCGGGUGUGAAAUCCCCGGGCUCAACCUGGGAAUUGCAUUCGAGACUGCAAGGCUUGGGUGCGGAAGAGGGAAGCGGAAUUUCCGGUGUAGCAGUGAAAUGCGUAGAGGUCGGUAGGAACACCAAUGGCGAAGGCAGCUUGCUGGGCCAUUUCUGACGCUAAGGCACGAAAGCGUGGGGAGCGAACAGG